CAGCCGCCACGGUAAUACAGAGGGUGCGAGCGUUAAUCGGAUUUACUGGGCGUAAAGCGUGCGUAGGCGGCUUUUUAAGUCGGAUGUGAAAUCCCUGAGCUUAACUUAGGAAUUGCAUUCGAUACUGGAAAGCUAGAGUAUGGGAGAGGAUGGUAGAAUUCCAGGUGUAGCGGUGAAAUGCGUAGAGAUCUGGAGGAAUACCGAUGGCGAAGGCAGCCAUCUGGCCUAAUACUGACGCUGAGGUACGAAAGCAUGGGGAGCAAACAGGAUUAGAUACCCCAGUAGUCCCUGUCUCUUAUAC
rnacentral:rRNA from 1 species